AUUUAGGUUGGUGCAAAAGUAAUUGCAGUUUUUGCAAUUAAAAGUAAUGACAAAAACUGCAAUUACUUUUGCACCAACCUAAAU
rnacentral:pre_miRNA from 1 species